AAACAGAACGGAUUUUUCCAUGGCUAAAAUUACAAAUCCACAGGGACUUUCCCCCUUUCUAUACACUAACACGCACUAACAAACUAAGUACAAAUUAACUGAAUUAAAAAAAAAAAAAAAAACAGGAAUAUAACACUCAUCACAAUUAAACGUCAGAUUUUUUUUUCAUUAUCAGUCAGAUCUCUCUCCCUCCCUUAAGCCAUUUAACAAAUUCGAGCUCCCUCGUUAAAAUCCCCAGCUCUCUGCAAUGGUGGUCUGCAAAUGUCGUAAGGCUACCAAGUUAUAUUGUUUCGUGCACAAAGUUCCCGUUUGUGGGGAAUGUAUCUGCUUUCCAGAGCAUCAAAUCUGUGUGGUUCGUACAUACUCUGAAUGGGUGAUAGAUGGAGAGUAUGACUGGCCUCCAAAAUGCUACUCCUGCCAAGCUGUGCUUGAAGAGGGGGAUGGUCCUCAAACCACUCGAUUGGGUUGCUUGCAUGUUAUACACACAAAUUGUUUGGUUUCACAUAUCAAAAGCUUUCCUCCACACACAGCACCAGCUGGAUAUGUGUGCCCUUCGUGUUCAACACCGAUAUGGCCUCCCAAAAGUGUGAAAGACUCGGGAUCCCGUUUUCAUUCAAAGCUGAAAGAAGCUAUAAUGCAGACGGGUUUGGAAAAGAACUUGUUUGGAAAUCAUCCAGUUUCAUUGCUGGCACCACCUCCCACAUUCACUUCAGAUCCUUUGGUUGCCAUUUCUUCAUCAUUCUCGGUGACAAAAGAUGAAACUGGAACAGGGUCUUCUAAAAUUUCAGUGUCGGAUAUUGUGGAGAUUGAUAGCCCCAAUUCUGCAGGGAAUUAUAUGAAAAACUCAAGUCCUGGCAUUCCUGGUGCUGCAACACGGAAGGUUGGCGUACAUGUUGAGCGGCAAAAUUCUGAACUUUCAUACUAUGCAGAUGAUGAAGAUGGGAAUCAUAAGAAGUACAGUCGAAGGGGUUCAUUUCGUCACAAGUUCCUCAGAGCUUUGCUUCCUUUCUGGUCCAGUGCAUUACCAAUUUUACCAGUUACCGCACCUCCACGUAAAGAUGCAUCAAAUGCAGAUGAUCCCUCAGAAGGUCGUACAAGGCAAAAACGUUCAAGGACAGAUCCAAGAAAAAUCCUCCUCUUUAUAGCAAUCAUGGCUUGUAUGGCAACUAUGGGCAUACUAUAUUACAGAAUUGCACAACGGGGUUUUGGGGAGGAGCAGCAGUGAUUUAUGUAAGGUUGUGAUGGAAUAGGACAAUGAUACAUUGUACCCUUAGAUGCAUGCCUGCUAGUCAAUGGUGCUUCUGCUGCUUCUCGUUUUGUAUGUCUGCUUUGAUGCACGCCCCCGUUACUAGUGAUUGAGUGAAAUGGCUGGUUGGAUUUGGGAAGGAGCUCUGCUAUUAACUCCAGGGGCAAGGAACAUUGUCAUUUUCAUGUAUGUUUUGCUGUCUAAAAUAGCUUUUGAGUUAAAGCAUGGGCACUAAUUUAUGUCAAGUUGCUACUAAGUUGCUUUUGUGCUCUUCAAAACAGCUUCCUGUUAUUUGCCUAGGCAAAAACCUGAUUAGACUCUACCCUGAAAUUUCGGAGGCCCUAUUUGUUUGGUAGAAUUGAGGGUAUUGAUCUUUCCUUUA